UACGAAGGGGGCUAGCGUUGUUCGGAGUUACUGGGCGUAAAGGGCGCGUAGGCGGCGCACCAAGUCAGGCGUGAAAUCCCUGGGCUCAACCCAGGGCCUGCAUCGGAAACUGUCGGGCUUGAGUAUGGGAGAGGUGAGUGGAAUUUCCGGUGUAGCGGUGAAAUGCGUAGAUAUCGGAAGGAACACCUGUGGCGAAAGCGGCUCACUGGACCAUUACUGACGCUGAGGCACGAAAGCUAGGGGAGCAAACAGG
rnacentral:rRNA from 1 species